rnacentral:lncRNA from 1 species
GGAAGGGGUGGUGCUGGGGGUCAACAUUUCACUGCGAAUACUACACAAUUCGCAUUAUUUGAUUCUUAAUGAUAGAAUUGACCGGAUACACCCAAGCUAUUCAGCAGAAUAAAGUCUCACCAGUUGGUUUUUGCUCCAAAAUUCAAACUCACUUUUCCUUUUCUCUGCCUCUUGAUUGGAGGUACAACCACGCAAUGUCAUGUAUCUCAUGAUUGUGAACCUGGUGCUGGUGGGAUGGCUUUGCCCUUUUUCCCAUUUAUGGGUCCGUCACCUCGACAAGAAAAGUCUUCAUAUAUCACAUGCCCAUUCACUUUAGUCCAUAUCUACUCAACUCAACUCAACUCAAUAAUCUCAUUACCUUAAAAAUAUCUCCUAUGACCAAGGCACGCACUAAAUUUUCUGUUUUCAUCUCUUGCUUUUCUGCAACAAUGGAACUUAAACCAAUGCUC